CCAGGGGUUUGGCUUCCACCCAUUUGAUGAAGUAAUCCACCACUACGACUAAAAACUUCCUUUGAUCGGACAUCAGAGGAAAAAGAUCGAGUAUGUCAAUACCCCAUUGCACGAAGAGCCACGGUGCAAUGAUCUAUGUCAGCUGGCUGGCCAGUUAGUGCUGAAUAUUGGCAUAUUUUUGAUAUACUUCAUACCUCCAAACAAAUUCAGUUGCAUCUUGCUUCAUAGUAGAUC
rnacentral:lncRNA from 1 species